AUGGUCAGUAUAUUGACGGGCCGUCCUGAAGAGGAGGUGUCCGGAUCAGCAAGUGAUCUGCUGCAAAGACUGUCGCAAGUGCACGAGCGUGCUCGGCUGGCCAUGCGGAGUGUUACCAAGGCCUUAUGGCCAUCUGCCUCCCCUCCAGGAAGUAUGGAGGAGCUUGUAGAGUUGUUCAAGGGAGCGCGGCGGCGUAUCCGAUUAUGGAAGAUAUCGGCCUGCCGAGAGGGUGCACGAGAAGCCUCGGCCAUGGUGAAGAUGCGAUAUACCAAGCUGAAUCCUAAUCACAUGGCCCGGGUUGGACCGUUGGGGCCAAAUGGGGAAGAAAUUCCCAUUAGUUUAGUAUAUGACCAAGUAGAGGUGGCCGCCAAAUAUUCCCAACAGGAUUGUCAGUUAGACUGCCUGUUACAUGGUAUAGAGGCAGAAGUGUUUGAGUCCAAGUGA
rnacentral:rRNA from 1 species